UGGGGAAUCUUGGACAAUGGGGGCAACCCUGAUCCAGCCAUGCCGCGUGAGUGAUGAAGGCCUUAGGGUCGUAAAGCUCUUUCGCCUGUGAAGAUAAUGACGGUAGCCGGAGAAGAAGCCCCGGCUAACUCCGUGCCAGCAGCCGCGGUAAUACGGAGGGGGUUAGCGUUGUUCGGAAUUACUGGGCGUAAAGCGCACGUAGGCGGACCAGAAAGUUGGGGGUGAAAUCCCGGGGGCUCAACCCCGGAACUGCCUCCAAAACUAUUGGUCUAGAGUUCGAGAGAGGUGAGUGGAAUUCCAAGUGUAGAGGUGAAAUUCGUAGAUAUUUGGAGGAACACCAGUGGCGAAGGCGGCUCACUGGCUCGAUACUGACGCUGAGGUGCGAAAAGUGUGGGGAGCAAAACAGGAUUAGAUACCCUGGUAGUCCACACCGUAAAACGAUGAAUGCCAGUCGUCGGGUAGCAUGCUAUUCGGUGACACACCUAACGGAUUAAGCAUUCCGCCUGGGGAGUACGGUCGCAAGAUU
rnacentral:rRNA from 1 species